rnacentral:tRNA from 1 species
UUAAGAAAGACAUAGUGGUUAUGAUGUUGGCUUGAAACCAGCUAUAGGGGGUUCGAUUCCUUCCUUUCUUA